rnacentral:tRNA from 1 species
GCGGAGAGGUGUCCGAGUGGUUGAAGGAGCACGCCUGGAAAGUGUGUAAACGGGUCAAACCGUUUCGCGGGUUCGACCAAUUCGUCGGGAACGAAUUGGGACAGCCGCAGGCUGGCCCCUCGCGCCGCG